GAUGAACGCUGGCGGCGUGCUUAACACAUGCAAGUCGAACGAAGCACUUAAACCUGAUUCUUCGGAUGAAGGUUUUUGUGACUGAGUGGCGGACGGGUGAGUAACGCGUGGGUAACCUGCCUCAUACAGGGGGGAUAACAGUUAGAAAUGACUGCUAAUACCGCAUAAGACCACGGAGCCGCAUGGCUCAGUGGGAAAAACUCCGGUGGUAUGAGAUGGACCCGCGUCUGAUUAGGUAGUUGGUGGGGUAACGGCCUACCAAGCCAACGAUCAGUAGCCGACCUGAGAGGGUGACCGGCCACAUUGGGACUGAGACACGGCCCAAACUCCUACGGGAGGCAGCAGUGGGGAAUAUUGCACAAUGGGGGAAACCCUGAUGCAGCGACGCCGCGUGAGCGAAGAAGUAUUUCGGUAUGUAAAGCUCUAUCAGCAGGGAAGAAAAUGACGGUACCUGACUAAGAAGCACCGGCUAAAUACGUGCCAGCAGCCGCGGUAAUACGUAUGGUGCAAGCGUUAUCCGGAUUUACUGGGUGUAAAGGGAGCGUAGACGGCUGUGUAAGUCUGAAGUGAAAGCCCGGGGCUCAACCCCGGGACUGCUUUGGAAACUAUGCAGCUAGAGUGUCGGAGAGGUAAGUGGAAUUCCCAGUGUAGCGGUGAAAUGCGUAGAUAUUGGGAGGAACACCAGUGGCGAAGGCGGCUUACUGGACGAUGACUGACGUUGAGGCUCGAAAGCGUGGGGAGCAAACAGGAUUAGAUACCCUGGUAGUCCACGCCGUAAACGAU
rnacentral:rRNA from 1 species